ACCGACUAUAACUAUUGCAAGUAACGUUGUUCUUUUAUGUUUUCAAAUUAAUUAUCAAAUAUUUUUUAUGGUUAUAAUGCUUUUUAUUGCUCAUUAGUCAAAACAUCCUGACUGUUAAAUAUAUACUCCAUUUAAAUUCUAACGGGUCCCGAUUUUAAAGGAGUUUUAUUUCUCCUGAAAUUUUCUCCUACAGUACAAUGCUUAUCUUCAGAUAUCCGUGGUUUAUAUACAGUUUUCUUGUGCCGUGUUAUGGAAGCCUAAAGCCGGGCUUCACUCAACUUCAGCGAGGACACAGACUGGACAGGAAACUAAUCCAAUCCUUCACAGAUCUCUGUUUCCUGGACUGUGUGAUAGAAUGUCUAGUAACACCACGGUGUAAAUCUGUCAAUUAUUUCAAAGGGGCUAAUUUCUGUGAGACCAAUUACGAAAAUAAGACGACAGCAGAGACCAACUACAUGGACAGUGCUGGAUGGGUGUACAGUGAAAAGGAGCACUGGCCUAAGGGUCUUGCUGGAGCUUGUUCAAACUCGAACUGUCAACUCAACGAGACAUGUAAACACAAGAGAUAUUCUGAGGAUAAAUUCUUUGAAUGUGUUUUGUCCGAUUGUGGAAUACCCGAUCUAAAAGGAAUAGAUCUGAAUACAACACGACGUGAGGACGCCAUUGGUAUACACAGGAUACACGCCUCGUGUGCUGACGGAUACUCCCAGUCUGGUUCAGGGCGGCUGAACUGUCAAUCAAACGGAGAGUGGAAAUACGACAUUGUCUGUGAAGUUACAGUUCCAUUGGAGCUUGCAUUUGGUAAACCUGCUGAACAAUCGUCAACGUAUUUAUUACAUGGGCCCGAGUAUGCAGUAGAUGAAUACUCAACAGAGGAAUGGAUGAGUACGGAACGGAUGUGUCAUUCCGGCUGCAAGAUGUUACCGUUACUGCAGGGCUGACAGAAUCAGAUGACAACACUCCCUGUGGUUUCUUUGCUGGUCCCGGUACUCUGUCACAGCUGGUCGUCAUCGACUGUCCGACGUCACCACAGGGGAGAUUCGUAAAGAUCUCCAAGACAACUGAGUAUCUCACUCUUUGUGAAGUUGACGUGUUGGGAUUCUCC
rnacentral:misc_RNA from 1 species